AUGAACGCUGGCGGCGUGCCUAACACCUGCAAGUCGAACGGAGAUUACGGACGGAAGUUUUCGGAUGGAAGACUGUAAUUCUUAGUGGCGGACGGGUGAGUAACGCGUGGGCAACCUGCCCUAUACAGGGGGAUAGCAGCUGGAAACGGCUGGUAAGACCGCAUAAGUCGGCGAGACCGCAUGGUUUUGCCGGGAAAUGAGCAAUCAGGUAUAGGAUGGGCCCGCGUCCGAUUAGCCAGUUGGCAGGGUAAAAGCCUACCAAAGCAACGAUCGGUAGCCGGACUGAGAGGUCGGACGGCCACAUUGGGACUGAGACACGGCCCAAACUCCUACGGGAGGCAGCAGUGGGGGAUAUUGCACAAUGGAGGAAACUCUGAUGCAGCGACGCCGCGUGAGUGAAGAAGUAUUUCGGUAUGUAAAGCUCUAUCAGCAGGGAAGAUGAUGACGGUACCUGACUAAGAAGCCCCGGCUAACUACGUG
rnacentral:rRNA from 1 species